rnacentral:rRNA from 1 species
ACGGGUGAGUAAUACAUCGGAACGUGCCCUGUAGUGGGGGAUAACUAGUCGAAAGAUUAGCUAAUACCGCAUACGACCUGAGGGUGAAAGUGGGGGACCGCAAGGCCUCAUGCUAUAGGAGCGGCCGAUGUCUGAUUAGCUAGUUGGUGAGGUAAAGGCUCACCAAGGCGACGAUCAGUAGCUGGUCUGAGAGGACGAUCAGCCACACUGGGACUGAGACACGGCCCAGACUCCUACGGGAGGCAGCAGUGGGGAAUUUUGGACAAUGGGGGCAACCCUGAUCCAGCAAUGCCGCGUGCGUGAAGAAGGCCUUCGGGUUGUAAAGCACUUUUGUCCGGAAAGAAAUCGCACUUACUAAUAUUAGGUGUGGAUGACGGUACCGGAAGAAUAAGGACCGGCUAACUACGUGCCAGCAGCCGCGGUAAUACGUAGGGUCCAAGCGUUAAUCGGAAUUACUGGGCGUAAAGCGUGCGCAGGCGGUUGUGCAAGACCGAUGUGAAAUCCCCGGGCUUAACCUGGGAAUUGCAUUGGUGACUGCACGGCUAGAGUGUGUCAGAGGGGGGGUAGAAUUCCACGU